UUUUCACAGAUUUUAAUGAUGCCAUUUUAGUUUCUGGGGAGGGCCUGGUUUCAAAAAUUGUCUUCAUUACUUACUUUAAGAUAGUAUACUAAGAUAUCAUACACAGUGCUUUUAAAAAUACCCUUAUGUUCAAGACUUCUGACCUUAUAUUCUUG